GCCUCCCUCCGCCGCCAUCAGACNCCUACGGAGGGCCGGCAGUUAGGAAUCUUGCGCAAUGGGAGCAAUCCUGACGCAGCGAUGCCGCGUGAGGGACGAAGGCCUUCGGGUUGUAAACCUCUUUUAUUGGGAAGAUACAAGACGGUACCAACAGAAAAAGCAACCGGCUAACUCUGUGCCAGCAGCCGCGGUAAUUC
rnacentral:rRNA from 1 species